rnacentral:rRNA from 1 species
UGGGGAAUAUUGCACAAUGGGCGCAAGCCUGAUGCAGCCAUGCCGCGUGUAUGAAGAAGGCCUUCGGGUUGUAAAGUACUUUCAGCGGGGAGGAAGGUGUUGAGGUUAAUAACCUCAGCAAUUGACGUUACCCGCAGAAGAAGAACCGGCUAACUCCGUGCCAGCAGCCGCGGUAAUACGGAGGGGGCAAGCGUUAAUCGGAAUUACUGGGCGUAAAGCGCACGCAGGCGGUCUGUCAAGUCGGAUGUGAAAUCCCCGGGCUCAACCUGGGAACUGCAUCCGAAACUGGCAGGCUUGAGUCUUGUAGAGGGGGGUAGAAUUCCAGGUGUAGCGGUGAAAUGCGUAGAGAUCUGGAGGAAUACCGGUGGCGAAGGCGGCCCCCUGGACAAAGACUGACGCUCAGGUGCGAAAGCGUGGGGAGCAAACA